rnacentral:rRNA from 1 species
UACGUAGGUGGCAAGCGUUGUCCGGAUUUAUUGGGUUUAGAGGGUGCGUAGGCGGUCUAUUAAGUCAGCGGUGAAAUACUCCAGCUUAACUGGAGGGGUGCCAUUGAUACUGAUGGACUUGAGUCAAGUCGAGGUAGGCGGAAUUGACGGUGUAGCGGUGAAAUGCUUAGAUAUCGUCAAGAACACCAAUAGUGAAGACAGCUUACUGGGCUUAAACUGACGCUGAGGCACGAAAGUGUGGGGAUCAAACAGG